UACGAAGGGGGCUAGCGUUGCUCGGAAUCACUGGGCGUAAAGCGCACGUAGGCGGCUUUUUAAGUCAGGGGUGAAAUCCUGGAGCUCAACUCCAGAACUGCCUUUGAUACUGGGAAGCUUGAGUCCGGGAGAGGUGAGUGGAACUCCGAGUGUAGAGGUGAAAUUCGUAGAUAUUCGCAAGAACACCAGUGGCGAAGGCGGCUCACUGGCCCGAUACUGACGCUGAGGCACGAAAGCGUGGGGAGCAAACAGG
rnacentral:rRNA from 1 species